rnacentral:rRNA from 1 species
CCUGCCAGUAGUCAUAUGCUUGUCUCAAAGAUUAAGCCAUGCAUGUCUCAGUACAAGCCAAAUUAAGGUGAAACCGCGAAAGGCUCAUUAAAUCAGUUAUGGUUCCUUAGAUCGUCCACACAUUUACUUGGAUAACUGUGGUAAUUCUAGAGCUAAUACAUGCAAACAGAGCUCCGACCAGAGAUGGAAGGAGUGCUUUUAUUAGAUCAAAACCAAUCGGCGGCAGGCACUUGUGUCUGUUCGUCGCCCUACUUGGUGACUCUGAAUAACUUUAUGCUGAUCGCACGGUCUUGCACCGGCGACGCAUCUUUCAAAUGUCUGCCUUAUCAACUGUCGAUGGUAGGUUCUGCGCCUACCAUGGUUGUAACGGGUAACGGGGAAUCAGGGUUCGAUUCCGGAGAGGGAGCCUGAGAAACGGCUACCACAUCCAAGGAAGGCAGCAGGCGCGCAAAUUACCCACUCCCGGCACGGGGAGGUAGUGACGAAAAAUAACGAUACGGGACUCAUCCGAGGCCCCGUAAUCGGAAWGAGUACACUUUAAAUCCUUUAACAAGGACCAAUUGGAGGGCAAGUCUGGUGCCAGCAGCCGCGGUAAUUCCAGCUCCAAUAGCGUAU